rnacentral:rRNA from 1 species
AUACGGAGGGUGCGAGCGUUAAUCGGAAUUACUGGGCGUAAAGCGCGUGUAGGCGGCCAGGUAAGUCGGAUGUGAAAUCCCGGGGCCCAACCCCGGAACUGCACCCGAUACUGCCUGGCUGGAGUCCCGGAGAGGAUGGCGGAAUUUCCGGUGUAGAGGUGAAAUUCGUAGAUAUCGGAAGGAACACCAGUGGCGAAGGCGGCCAUCUGGACGGUGACUGACGCUGAGACGCGAAAGCGUGGGGAGCAAACAGGAUUAGAAACCCCAGUAGUCC